rnacentral:rRNA from 1 species
UGGCAUAUACAAAGAGAAGCGACCUCGCGAGAGCAAGCGGACCUCAUAAAGUAUGUCGUAGUCCGGAUUGGAGUCUGCAACUCGACUCCAUGAAGUCGGAAUCGCUAGUAAUCGUAGAUCAGAAUGCUACGGUGAAUACGUUCCCGGGCCUUGUACACACCGCCCGUCACACCAUGGGAGUGGGUUGCAAAAGAAGUAGGUAGCUUAACCUUCGGGAGGGCGCUUACCACUUUGUGAUUCAUGACUGGGGUGAAGUCGUAACAAGGUAACCGUAGGGGAACCUGCGGUUGGAUCACCUCCUUA